UCCGAGUUGACCCCGGCAGUCUCUUACGAGUCCCCACCAUUACGUGCUGGCAACAUAAGACAAGGGUUGCGCUCGUUGCGGGACUUAACCCAACAUCUCACGACACGAGCUGACGACAGCCAUGCACCACCUGUACACCGACCACAAGGGGGGCACCAUCUCUGAUGCUUUCCGGUGUAUGUCAAGCCUUGGUAAGGUUCUUCGCGUUGCGUCGAAUUAAGCCACAUGCUCCGCUGCUCGUGCGGGCCCCCGUCAAUUCCUUUGAGUUUCAACCUUGCGGUCGUACUCCCCAGGUGGAUCACUUAACACUUUCGCUUGGACGCGUACUGUAUAUCGCACACAUCGAGUGAUCAUCGUUUACGGCUAGGACUAC
rnacentral:misc_RNA from 1 species